rnacentral:rRNA from 1 species
AUUGAACGCUGGCGGCAUGCUUUACACAUGCAAGUCGAACGGUAACAGGGUGCUUGCACCGCUGACGAGUGGCGAACGGGUGAGUAAUGCGUCGGAACGCACCGAGUAAUGGGGGAUAACGCAGCGAAAGCUGUGCUAAUACCGCAUACGCUCUGAGGAGGAAAGCGGGGGACCUUCGGGCCUCGCGUUAUUCGAGCGGCCGACGUCUGAUUAGCUAGUAGGUGAGGUAAGAGCUCACCUAGGCGACGAUCAGUAGCGGGUCUGAGAGGAUGAUCCGCCACACUGGGACUGAGACACGGCCCAGACUCCUACGGGAGGCAGCAGUGGGGAAUUUUGGACAAUGGGCGCAAGCCUGAUCCAGCCAUGCCGCGUGUCUGAAGAAGGCCUUCGGGUUGUAAAGGACUUUUGUCAGGGAGGAAAUCCUUAGCGCUAAUACCGUUGAGGGAUGACAGUACCUGAAGAAUAAGCACCGGCUAACUACGUGCCAGCCGCCGCCGUAA